GAUGAACGCUGGCGGCGUGCCUAAUACAUGCAAGUCGAGCGAACAGACGAGGAGCUUGCUCCUCUGACGUUAGCGGCGGACGGGUGAGUAACACGUGGAUAACCUACCUAUAAGACUGGGAUAACUUCGGGAAACCGGAGCUAAUACCGGAUAAUAUAUUGAACCGCAUGGUUCAAUAGUGAAAGACGGUUUUGCUGUCACUCAUAGAUGGAUCCGCGCCGCAUUAGCUAGUUGGUAAGGUAACGGCUUACCAAGGCGACGAUGCGUAGCCGACCUGAGAGGGGGAGUGCGCACAGGGGAACAGAGACACGGACGAGAGUCCGGAGGGAGGGGGAGGCAGGGAAUGCACGGAAGGGGGGGAAGGCAGGAGGGAGAGGGGCGGGGGGGGUGAGGAAGGAGUCAGGAACGAAGAAGUCGGUAAGUAGGAAAGAAAAAAGGUGUAAAAAACAAUUCAGGAGUUGAGAGAAACAAAACAAAACGACACGGAGAACACCGGGCCAGCAGCCGCAGAAGAGACCCCCUCAGAAC
rnacentral:rRNA from 1 species